UACGGAGGAUCCGAGCGUUAUCCGGAUUUAUUGGGUUUAAAGGGUGCGUAGGCGGCCUUGUAAGUCAGGGGUGAAAGACGGUAGCUUAACUAUCGCAGUGCCUUUGAUACUGCAGGGCUUGAAUGUACUUGAGGUAGGCGGAAUGUGACAAGUAGCGGUGAAAUGCAUAGAUAUGUCACAGAACACCAAUUGCGAAGGCAGCUCACUAAACUGUAACUGACGCUGAGGCACGAAAGCGUGGGGAGCAAACAGG
rnacentral:rRNA from 1 species